rnacentral:rRNA from 1 species
UUGAUCCUGGCUCAGAAUCAACGCUGGCGGCGUGCCUAACACAUGCAAGUCGAACGAGAAAGUGGAGCAAUCCAUGAGUAAAGUGGCGACCGGGUGAGUUACACGUGACUAACCUACCUCCGAGUGGGGAAUAACUCCGGGAAACCGGGUCUAAUACCGCAUAACAUCGCAAGAUCAAAGCAGCAAUGCGCUUGGAGAGUGGGUCGCGGCUGAUUAGCUAGUUGGUAGGGUAACGGCCUACCAAGGCGAUGAUCGGUAUCCGGCCUGAGAGGGCGCACGGACACACUGGAACUGAAACAUGGUCCAGACUCCUACGGGAGGCAGCAGUGGGGAAUUUUGCGCAAUGGGGUAAACCCUGACGCAGCAACGCCGCGUGGAGGAUGAAGCCCCUUGGGGCGUUAACUCCUUUCGACCAAGACGAUAAUGACGGUACUGGUGGAAGAAGCACCUGCUAACUCUGUGCCAGCAGCCGCGGUAAUAAAU